rnacentral:rRNA from 1 species
GUGAGGAAUAUUGGUCAAUGGGCGGAAGCCUGAACCAGCCAAGUAGCGUGCAGGACGACGGCCCUAUGGGUUGUAAACUGCUUUUGAAGGGGAAUAAAGUGCGCCCUGCGGGGAGCAUUGCAGGUACCCUUGGAAUAAGGACCGGCUAAUUCCGUGCCAGCAGCCGCGGUAAUACGGAAGGUCCUGGUGUUAUCCGGAUUUAUUGGGUUUAAAGGGAGCGUAGGCCGUCAGGCAAGCGUGUUGUGAAAUGUCGUGGCUCAACCAUGGACUUGCAGCGCGAACUGCCCGACUUGAGUGCGCGGAAAGCAGGCGGAAUUUGUGGUGUAGCGGUGAAAUGCUUAGAUAUCACGAAGAACCCCGAUUGCGAAGGCAGCCUGCUGUAGCGCUACUGACGCUGAAGCUCGAAAGUGCGGGUAUCGAACAGGAUUAGAAACCCGGGUAGUCC